rnacentral:tRNA from 1 species
GCCCCGGUAGCUCAGCCGGUAGAGCGCCGGCCUCGUAAGCCGGAGGUCCCGGGUUCGAAUCCCGGCCGGGGCUCCA